UAGUACGUUUUUAAUAUUUUU
rnacentral:piRNA from 1 species